rnacentral:rRNA from 1 species
ACGGGGGGUGCGAGCGUUGUCCGGAAUCACUGGGCGUAAAGGGCGCGUAGGCGGUCCAGUAAGCGUGUGGUGAAAGCCCGGGGCUCAACCCCGGGUCGGCCGUGCGAACUGCGGGACUCGAGCACUGUAGAGGCAGGCGGAAUUCCGGGUGUAGCGGUGGAAUGCGUAGAGAUCCGGAGGAACACCGGUGGCGAAGGCGGCGUCCUGGACCAACACUGACACUGAUGAGCGAAAGCCAGGGGAGCAAACGGGA